rnacentral:rRNA from 2 species
GAAUUGACGGGGGCCCGCACAAGCGGUGGAGCAUGUGGUUUAAUUCGAUGCAACGCGAAGAACCUUACCUGGUCUUGACAUCCACGGAAGUUUUCAGAGAUGAGAAUGUGCCUUCGGGAACCGUGAGACAGGUGCUGCAUGGCUGUCGUCAGCUCGUGUUGUGAAAUGUUGGGUUAAGUCCCGCAACGAGCGCAACCCUUAUCCUUUGUUGCCAGCGGUCCGGCCGGGAACUCAAAGGAGACUGCCAGUGAUAAACUGGAGGAAGGUGGGGAUGACGUCAAGUCAUCAUGGCCCUUACGACCAGGGCUACACACGUGCUACAAUGGCGCAUACAAAGAGAAGCGACCUCGCGAGAGCAAGCGGACCUCAUAAAGUGCGUCGUAGUCCGGAUUGGAGUCUGCAACUCGACUCCAUGAAGUCGGAAUCGCUAGUAAUCGUGGAUCAGAAUGCCACGGUGAAUACGUUCCCGGGCCUUGUACACACCGCCCGUCACACCAUGGGAGUG